GACUUCAACUGAAAAAGUCAUCAACAACAAAGUUGUAUAACUCAUCAAUAUCUAUAACUUUUAUUUUGGUUAUUUUUUCAUCCGACAAAGUCAUAAUAACAUUGUUCACAAAAUUAACAUAUUUCUUAUAUGGUUUUAUAAACUGUAAGAGAGAUAUAAAUUUUGUGAACAAUAUUAUUAUCACUUUGUCGGAUGAAGAAAUGACCAAAAUAAAAGUUAUAGAUAUUGAUGAAUUAUACAACUUUCUUGUUGAUGAUGUUUUCAGGUGAAAUC
rnacentral:pre_miRNA from 1 species